rnacentral:misc_RNA from 1 species
ACAGGAGCGAGUAGUGAUCUUCAUACAGCUACUGAACUUGCCCAUUAUAUGGUGUCAAAUUGUGGGAUGAGUGAUGUAAUCGGACCGGUUCAUGUCAAAGAGCGGCCAAGUUCAGAGUUGCAGUCACGUAUUGAUGCCGAAGUGGUGAAACUCCUAAGAGAAGCAUAUGAUCGUGUAAAAGCCCUGCUAAAGAAGCAAGAGAAGGCACUACAUGCAUUAGCAAAUGCACUUUUAGAGUAUGAAAC